rnacentral:rRNA from 1 species
GCUUGUCUCAAAGAUUAAGCCAUGCAUGUCUUAGUGUAAAUAACUCUUAUGAAACUGCGAAUGGCUCAUUAAAUCAGUUAUCGUUUAUUUGAUGGUCCCUUACUACAUGGAUAACCGUAGUAAUUCUAGAGCUAAUACAUGCACAAAGGCCCGACUCACGAAGGGCUGUAUUUAUUAGAUUUAAAGCCGACAUCUUUUGGUGAAUCAUAAUAACUUCGCAAAUCGCAGUAAUACUGCGAUAAAUCAUUCAAGUUUCUGCCCUAUCAUGCUCUCGAUGGUAGUGUAUUGGACUACCAUGGCUCUCACGGGUAACGGGGAAUUAGGGUUCGAUUCCGGAGAAGGAGCCUGAGAAACGGCUACUACAUCUAAGGAAGGCAGCAGG